AAGGAAAGGGCAAGAGCAAGGGCAAGGGAAAAGAAAAGAGACGAGGCAAGGAUGAUUCCAAC
rnacentral:ribozyme from 1 species